rnacentral:rRNA from 1 species
CUACGUGCCAGCAGCCGCGGUAAUACGUAGGGGGCAAGCGUUAUCCGGAUUCAUUGGGCGUAAAGCGCUCGUAGGCGGUCUGUUAGGUCGGGAGUUAAAUCCGGGGGCUCAACCCCCGUUCGCUCCCGAUACCGGCAGACUUGAGUUUGGUAGGGGAAGGUGGAAUUCCUAGUGUAGCGGUGGAAUGCGCAGAUAUUAGGAAGAACACCAGUGGCGAAGGCGGCCUUCUGGGCCAUAACUGACGCUGAGGAGCGAAAGCUAGGGGAGCAAACAGGAUUAGAUACCCUGGUAGUCCUAGCCGUAAACGAUGGACACUAGGUGUGGGGGAAUAUUUCUUCCGUGCCGCAGCUAACGCAUUAAGUGUCCCGCCUGGGGAGUACGGCCGCAAGGCUAAAACUCAAAGGAAUUGACGGGGGCCCGCACAAGCAGCGGAGCAUGUGGUUUAAUUCGAAGCAACGCGAAGAACCUUACCAGGGCUUGACAU